CAGCGGGAUAACCCGGAGAAAUCCGGCCUAAUACCGCAUGUGGCCGAGGGGAGGCAUCUUCUUUCGGCCAAAGGAGGCGACUCCGGAGACGGAUGGGCAUGCGUGACAUUAGCUUGUUGGCGGGGUAACGGCCCACCAAGGCGACGAUGUCUAGGGGUUCUGAGAGGAAGGUCCCCCACACUGGUACUGAGACACGGACCAGACUCCUACGGGAGGCAGCAGUGAGGAAUAUUGGUCAAUGGGCGAGAGCCUGAACCAGCCAAGUCGCGUGAAGGAUGACGGCCCUACGGGUUGUAAACUUCUUUUGUCAGGGAGCAAUUGGGUCCACGUGUGGGCUUAGCGAGAGUACCUGAAGAAAAAGCAUCGGCUAACUCCGUGCCAGCAGCCGCGGUAAUACGGAGGAUGCGAGCGUUAUCCGGAUUUAUUGGGUUUAAAGGGUGCGUAGGCGGAAUAUCAAGUCAGCGGUAAAAAUUCGGGGCUCAACCCCGUCGUGCCGUUGAAACUGAUGUUCUUGAGUGGGCGAGAAGUAUGCGGAAUGCGUGGUGUAGCGGUGAAAUGCAUAGAUAUCACGCAGAACUCCGAUUGCGAAGGCAGCAUACCGGCGCCCAACUGACGCUGAAGCACGAAAGCGUGGGUAUCGAACAGGAUUAGAUACGCUGGUAGUCCACGCAGUAAACGAUGAAUGCUAAUUGUCCGGAGGGAUUGACCUCUGGGUGAUACAG
rnacentral:rRNA from 1 species